AGAACGAACGCUGGCGGCAGGCUUAACACAUGCAAGUCGAGCGCCUCGCAAGAGGAGCGGCAGACGGGUGAGUAACGCGUGGGAAUCUACCCAUCCUUACGGAACAACUCCGGGAAACUGGAGCUAAUACCGUAUACGCCCUUCGGGGGAAAGAUUUAUCGAGGAUGGAUGAGCCCGCGUUGGAUUAGCUAGUUGGUGGGGUAAAGGCCUACCAAGGCGACGAUCUAUAGCUGGUCUGAGAGGAUGAUCAGCCACAUUGGGACUGAGACACGGCCCAAACUCCUACGGGAGGCAGCAGUGGGGAAUAUUGGACAAUGGGCGAAAGCCUGAUCCAGCAAUGCCGCGUGUGUGAAGAAGGUCUUCGGAUUGUAAAGCACUUUUGGCAGGGACGAUGAUGACGGUACCUGCAGAAUAACGCCCGGCUAACUUCGUGCCAGCAGCCGC
rnacentral:rRNA from 1 species